AAUUUGAGAUUUUGAGUAUUGCGAGAUGGCGGUAGACAAUUACCGGUAACGAUAACUGUAAUGGCUGUAUAUAUGUGUGAAGGAGAGGCUGGACGUUCUUGGACACUGGAAGAAUGACUACUGAAAAGCUGCCGUGGCAGUGUGCCAUGUAGCUUCGCCUCACCGUGUACCGUUUGUGGACGUGAUUAGCUGCGAGAACUGCCGCCGCGAACACACACACGUACACACUACUACUACUGCUAUCAAUCAGCUACCCUUUGGGGUCACGCCGCCCUCCACUCAGAGAACUGAGCGCAAGUGAAGGAGAGGCUGGACGUUCUUGGACCCUGGAAGAAGGGCAAAAGCACAGCUGUCGUGGGUAAGUUCUGUUUGUUAUAUUCUCUUUCACAGGAGAGUUCUAAUUCCCCCCCCCCCAACUGGAUGUUAUAGUAUGGCUUAGCAAAGCGCCGUUCCCACAGCGGAUGCGGAAAACUUGGCUUUCAGUCGAGUCUCACGCGAACCGUGAAAUUCUUUUAGCAGAGUGAGUACUAUUAUCGCAAUACACACUUAGCGAGCUCCACAGGAAAUACCUUAGAUUUUUAGAUAAGCCUUGAUUGGUUGAAAACAAUCAUGUUGUUUGCUUGCCAGCAUGUCACAAGGCGGAGGACGCACUGUAUUCGAAAACAGUGCUUUUCACGACAACCUCUGCCAACCGUGGAUGGUCGUAGUAAAGAACACUGUUUUCGAACACAGUUCGUCCUGCGCCUUGCAACAUGCUAUCAACCAAACAAAUACCUUAGAUGUAUCGGUGUGCUAAGAAAACUUGCUACAUGUACUAGAUAGUAGAUAAUGAAGUGCACUGCUAGCUUCAAAAUGGCGCUCGAGCAGUCGCUCCGCUAACGUCUUCAGAACGUUUGACGGCACUUGCUAUCGCUUUGCUAUCAGAUACUGGCCAGUACUAGUUGGGAGACGUGUGGGCGUACAUUGCAGUAAUGUCUGGCGCCACACAAAUGUAGCGCGGAAGAAUGACUAGCCUAGUAUCAAGCUCAUCAAGCUCAGUACAUGACAGUGUGUGGGCGUGCAGUGCAGUGAUGUCGGGCGCCGAAGAAUGUAGGUAGAACGAGUACAUGUACUGAUGUAGGCUAGCAUCGAGCUCACUAUCAAUGUAUACACCGUGAGAUCUGCAUGAAAAUGUGUGAUGUGAUUUUUAGAGAGUAGUCAUAUUAUUACCAGAACUUAUCAGCAUGCACCGGAGGGUGCGUACAGUCAAAUCAACAUGGAAGCAAGGGAAAUCGCUGAACGGCUUGAACUAUAGCGGACAGGACGGUACGGAGGUACUCGCCAAGUCCAAAUCAUGACAAAUGUUUCAUACCGCUGAGAGGCCAUACAGAGGACUUCCAGCGUGCACUGCCCUGCCCUACUACACUAGUCACGUGGUCACCGUGCCUGCAGGGUACAACUAACUACUUACUAGCCUGUUUGACCUUCUUUGGGUGCACUCCUGUCACUCGAGUUGAACUCGAGUUGAACCUUGGUGUGAAAGUUGUCGCCUGCUGGCGUGGUGACCAGGUGAUUUGGCCGCCCAGGAGCACGUCACCGCUUGUUCAACCAUGUCCGAUCGGGAAUAAAAGGAGGAACGCUGCAUCGCAGCGUUUUUGGACCAAAACCAGUCGACUCAGCGUCCAAACUUUUGAAGACAACGACAUAUGGGCCAAUCGCGGUCAUCCGUGCUUUUAUAAGAACGAAAUGGCGCUUUUAGUGACAUUUUGAAUACAAAUCCUCAUCUAGUAGGGCGCAAUCACCCAUUUUCGGUGGAAGUGCGCGAGUUCGAUUUGGAUUGAAGUAGGAAGGGAGUGCCUCAGCUUUCUCGGACCAAGACCAUUUGACUCAGCACCCCGAAGACUAGAACUAGUGAAAUUUUGAUUCUAGCAUUAACUUCCUCUUUAAGGUAAAGCUGCAAAGCUCCUCAAAUGUAGAUCACCGGGAAAUGGAGAUGUCAUGUCCAUAGAAGUCAACAGGAUUCUCUUUGUUGAGCAAUGUCGCUCCGGCAGCAGAUCUCACAACUUCAGAUGUCAUGUUGGUCCCGGACAUGACCUUAAACUGUGUCCAGAAAGGUAAGCGAAGAUUACCAUCCAGAGAAGAUCCUUGUUAUCAUAAGUGUUAUGAUUUUGUAACGUCCCAUUUUUGUUUACAUACUUGGUCUCACUGAUUUUCUCGAACUUUUUCUCUUCCUUGAUGCUUCUCACUAAUGUGCCCAAUUUUUUACUCUUUCUUGCCGAUAUUCUUGUUAUGAUUCAUCUUGUCCUUCUUGUUCUCAUUAUAGUUUCCAUUCUUGUUCUCAUUAUAGUUCCCAUUCCUGUUCCCAUUAUAGUUCCCAUCCUUGUUCUCAUUCUUGUUCUCAUUUCCUUUUUCUCUUUCUAGUUCUAAUUUCUGUUCUCAGUUCUCUUUGUUCUCCUUCAUAAUCGCAUUUUGGUUCUUCUAGUUCUUUUUCCCAUCCUGUUGCUGUUGUAGUUGCUGAUCGCUGGCUGCUCGUUGGCCGCUCGCCUGGCCGCUCGCCUGGCCGCUCGCCUGGCCGCU